AUGAAAAUCUUAUCAUGGAACUGCCGGGGUCUUGGGAAUGCCCCGGCGGUGCGUGCUUUGUUGGACGUCCAGCAAAGAUGUAACCCCGAGGUGGUGUUUUUGCCGGAGACACACCUUGAUAGCUAUCCGUCUGAAUGCUUAAGGAGACGGCUAAAGAUGGACCAGAAGCUAGUGUGCAUGAGUAAUGGUAGAAGUGGUGGAUUACUUCUUUUCUGGAAUAACAAUAUCAAUGUC
rnacentral:rRNA from 1 species